rnacentral:rRNA from 1 species
GACGAACGCUGGCGGCGUGCCUAAUACAUGCAAGUAGAACGCACAGUUUAUACCGUAGCUUGCUACACCAUACACUGUGAGUUGCGAACGGGUGAGUAACGCGUAGGUAACCUGCCUGGUAGCGGGGGAUAACUAUUGGAAACGAUAGCUAAUACCGCAUAAUAUUAAUUAUUGCAUGAUAAUUGAUUGAAAGAUGCAAUUGCAUCACUACCAGAUGGACCUGCGUUGUAUUAGCUAGUAGGUGAGGUAACGGCUCACCUAGGCGACGAUACAUAGCCGACCUUAGAGGGUGAUCGGCCACACUGGGACUGAGACACGGCCCAGACUCCUACGGGAGGCAGCAGUAGGGAAUCUUCGGCAAUGGACGAAAGUCUGACCGAGCAACGCCGCGUGAGUGCAGAAGGUUUUCGGAUCGUAAAGCUCUGUUGUAAGAGAAGAACGGGUGUGAGAGUGGAAAGUUCACACUGUGACGGUAUCUUACCAGAAAGGGACGGCUAACUACGUG